CAAGGAAUAUUGGGCAAUGGGCGAAAGCCUGACCCAGCGACACCGCGUGGGGGAAGAAGGCCCUCGGGUUGUAAACCCCUUUUAUCGGGGAAGAAUAAUGACGGUACCCGAUGAAUAAGCUUCGGCUAACUACGUGCCAGCAGCCGCGGUAAUACGUAGGAAGCAAGCGUUAUCCGGAUUUAUUGGGCGUAAAGCGGGCGUAGGUGGCUUUUCAAGUCCGAUGUGAAAUCUCCCGGCUUAACUGGGAGGGUGCAUCAGAAACUGUUGAGCUAGAGUGCAUCAGAGGAAAGCGGAAUUCCCGGUGUAGUGGUGAAAUGCGUAGAUAUCGGGAGGAACACUAGUGGCGAAGGCGGCUUUCUGGGAUGUAACUGACACUGAGGUCCGAAGGCGUGGGUAGCAAACAG
rnacentral:rRNA from 1 species